rnacentral:rRNA from 1 species
UAGGGAAUAUUGGGCAAUGGAUGCAAGUCUGACCCAGCCAUGCCGCGUGCCGGAUGAAGGCCCUCAGGGUUGUAAACGGCUUUUAUUCGGGAAGAAGAGCAGGGAUGCGUCCCUGUGUGACGGUACCGAAUGAAUAAGCACCGGCUAACUCCGUGCCAGCAGCCGCGGUAAUACGGAGGGUGCGAGCGUUGUCCGGAUUUAUUGGGUUUAAAGGGUGCGUAGGUGGCUUGUUAAGUCAGUGGUGAAAUACAGCCGCUCAACGGUUGAGGUGCCAUUGAUACUGACAAGCUUGAAACAAGUGGAGGUUGCCGGAAUGGAUGGUGUAGCGGUGAAAUGCAUAGAUAUCAUCCAGAACACCGAUUGCGAAGGCAGGUGACUACGUUUGAUUUGACACUGAGGCACGAAAGCAUGGGGAGCAAACAGG